rnacentral:lncRNA from 1 species
AAACGUGACCCUAUUUUCCCCUGCUUUCAGGAGCUCUGCCUGAAGAGAAGAAAUCGGCCAUCCACAUUUUACGACAUCCUGAAGACCUGAAACAUCGUCAGUAUAUCAAUAGUAUGUGAGAGGUUUGUCAUUUGUCAGGACUCAGGAUAGACACAGCAAACCCUUCCCCAGUUUAUAAAAAACUGAGAAAAUAAUUUUACCAGAGAUAUUGUAGCAGCAAUAAGCAAGUGAGGUACAGUAGUAUAUAAAAAAAUCGUUCGGACGUUUGGGAUAUCUCUUCUGGUUUUCUUCUUGUUGCGAUUCAUCUGUUAGUAAUGUUCUUGAUUUGGCCCGUCUCUGCCCGUCGAGAAAGUGGAGACAGAGAUGUAACCGAGAUAUCCAUUACUGACAAAUGUGAGUGAAUUAUGAAUUUGUAUCUCGAUAAAAAAAAACUUGAUGAUAGGUCCAAAAUGAAGUGGAGUACUUAUGUGACGCAAAACAAAAUCUACACCACUCAUUUUGUGUUUAAUAGCACUUCCCAUCGUUUUGUGGUUCCGUUUGUCGGUGCGAAGAAACUAGACGAGAUGAAUUCGAGAAAUAUCAGGUUCAUGCAUGUGCUUUGCCGUUUAUCGCCAUGCCCCUGGUCUUUGUUUCUUCAUGUGGAGUACGUAGCAGCUGCUACGGUAUGCGAUGGACAUGGCCGGAGCCUGAUAGGGCUAACCAAAGGGAAUCUACCUUGGUGAUCCAUACGGUACAAUUUGUUGAAAUAUAUUGCCUGUCUCUCUGCAUCACCUCAGAUCUCUGCAUCAGUUCAGACUGACGUUGAGCACUGACCAUACACAGAAAGAAAGAGAAUUUAGUGAGCAAGAACAAGGAAGUGAACCUAUGCAUGCAGAACCCUGAACCUGAACUUUUGUAGUUCACCGUUAUGUAGAGGCCUUCCAAUUCAGCAUCAAAUUUAAGUGUGUGCGACUAAAGAACGUUCAUCAGACACUACAACAUAGCUUUAUGUUGGUGCCCCGAUAUGUGGUGAAUUCGUUGGAUGGCCAGUGCCCCAAUAGCUUUCGGGCCAUGGACACGUUUGAUGAUCAUCUAUUUCAUAACAUAGUGCGUAUAGAUUUUUUAUAAAGUCGAAUUGUGCAAACUUUGACCAAGUUUACAGGAGAUCCUUUUAUAUCUAUAAUACUCUCUCCAUUUUUAUAUACAAGGCCACUAUCAAAAUUACGAUUUGCAGCUAUACAAGGCCACUAACACUUCCGGUUUAUAAGGCUCAAUUCAAAAUUCUCACCAACCAAGGUAGAUGGUGAGUGGUGGAAUACUUUUUGUAGUUUGCAAAAGCAUCCAAUUAAUGCUCUUGUUUUUUUCAAAAAAGUAUGUUUACCAAUGCAUUAAUUGCAAUGCAUGCAUGCAUAAAUUACAUGCAUUGGUCAAAUUUCUCUUAGUACUUGCAUGCAAUAAUUUAAUUGCACCUUGGAAUCUGAACAUGUGAUGAAAAACAACCAAAAAGAGUGAGAAGGUUGGCUUGCAUGCGCCUCAUUAAUCAACCAAAAAGAGUGAGAGCAUCGGCUUGUUGUGGGUGGAACAAAAAAAGAAGCAUUAAUUAACACGACAAACAAGGAGACAAGUUAGCUAGCAAUAUUGACUUAAGCACACAUUUACUUUUGGCUUGGUACCUGUAAUAUGGGUUUGUGGCCUUGUAUACACAAAUGGAGGGAGUACGAAAUAUAUAAAAUAUGAAACUACAUCUUAUGAUGAAUCUAAUGAUGCAUAUGUAUUUCUCCACAAACUUGGCUAAAUUUUAUGAGGUUUGACUUUUCAAAAAAAUCUAUAUGCACUACUGUUUGGAACGGAGGGAGUAUCUGCUUCGGUGAUCCGCAUUGGAGUUGCCCUAACGUAGAAUCUGGGGGAAAAAUUUAUUUAGCUGAUGUCAGAGAUCCUGGGCGGUCCUGGAGGCAAAAUUUAUCAUCUUGUCGCCGGAGUCCACUGAAUCGCUGGCACAUUUACGUGUGCACAGUCCUAGCUAGUACUACUUCAGUGCUACGUACGUACCCCGACCCCGGCUGGCAACAACGCCCCAUUAUUUUCUCGCCACCCUCCCCUUCCUUCGUCGUCGUCGUCGUCUCCAACCCCCACGGCCACCUCCCGUCCUCCCCCCAUAAAACCCACUGCCUCUGCAUCUGCCUCUGCUCCGGAGAGAGGGAAGCGGACGAGAUGGGCGGGAAGGUGAAGGCGAUGGCGCCGGUGGAGGAGGUGGACGUCGCCGCCGCGCGGUACGAGCCGCUGGUGCUGCGGGCGCCGCGCCUCACGGGGUUCCCGCUCCGGGCCUUCGUCUGGCUCCUCGAGUCCCCGCUCCUUGGGCCCCUCGUCACCUCCGUCCUCAAGAAGCAGAACAACAUGACGCAGGUCCUCCCUUCCCAUGCCAGUUUCUGUUUCGUUUGAGAUUAUUUUGCUUCGGUUGCACUCACCACAGUUCUCGUCUUGCCGGGGGACGAGCGGAGCAGAUGCUGCAGCACACGGUGAUCCCCGACCGGCCCAUGUUCUUCCCGGAGUUCCCGCCGCAGGGUACGUACGACACUCAUAUCCUCUGUCUCUGUGUGUGUAGUGUGUACAAGCAAAAGCAGCUACGGGAAACUUUUCAUUCAGUCAGGUUCUACUGAAUUUUGGUCUUCUUGAAUUUUGUAUAGUUGAGAACUCAGAGAUAGAUGUUCUACUACUUUCAUUCAGUCAGGUUCUACUGAAACUUUUCGCAAAAAAAAAAAAAAAAGAGAGAAAAAAUUCUCCUGAAACUGAAAAAAGGCAGAGAACAUGAAUGUAUGCUGCAGAAGCACAACCACACCUGAAUAAUUCGCUCAGUUUCAUCUGAAAAAUAAUUUGCUUAAUUCAGUUACACCACCCUGUUUUUAUAUAUUUUUUGACUGGAGACAGCAAGACAAUUUCCUACUGCAGCUUUUUUAAUCAUGUGAAAGUUAUAUGCACACGGUGAACAAAAUAAAAAAAAGCUGUAUUAUUGUUAACUGCUGCUGCUCCCAAUUUGCCAGAGCCGGAGAAAGGGGUUGUGAUCCUGGGGGAAGAUAGGGACCCUGUGGAGAGAGUGGAGGAAACACUGCAGUGCCUCGCUCCGUAUGACCCGUCUACGCAUUUCACAUCGUCGGAUGAGAAAAACCCCUUUCUAUACUGGAAGAUCCGUGACUUUGCACAUGCGUACCGGUCUGGGAUCACGACACCCUCAGCUGUGAGUAGCCCACUGGAAUGUAUUCUAUUUGUACAGAACAUUGCUUGCUCUGCUUGCAUUUGUGGUGUUAACCAGGCCUCUGGCUAGGUUGCGGAGCAUGUCAUUGCGGGCGUGGAAGAGUGGAACAAUAAGAAGCCUCCGAUGCCAAUGCUGAUCUAUUUUGAUGCUGAUGACCUGAGGAAGCAAGCUCAUGCUUCCACAAAGAGAUUUGAGCAAGGUUUACGCCGAACCUAUCUUUGCUGCUUCAUUCAAUCAUUGUUGAAAUGACCAGACAUCAGGUGGAAACUCCAUUUACCUCUAUCCUGUUUUCUUGAUAUGUGUUGCCUCUUGUGCACAGGAAGCCCGAUUUCCGUUCUGGAUGGGAUCUUUUUCGCCGUUAAGGAUGACAUUGACUGCUUCCCAUAUCCAUCAAAGAGUUAGCUCACUCGACUGAAGUAGCCUUUUUUUUUUGCUGUGUCCGAGAAGCAUGUUCUAUAUCAUGUUCCUCUUUUUGAAUUCAGGUGGUACCACAUUUUUCGACAAAAUCCGCCCUGUGGAGAAAGACGCAGUCUUAGUUGCUCGUUUACGGAAAUGUGGAGUGAUUUUUAUCGGGAAAGCAAAUAUGCACGAGCUAGGCAUUGGGGUCACCGGGAACAAUCCAAACUAUGGGUAUGUCUCAUGGUUAAUAAUUGAGCGGCUGCUAGUUCUGUUCGAAAUGCUUACAUACAUGGAGUCUAGUUUUAUUGGAGGUGCUAAAACUUAAGUCAUGUUUUCAUCUAUGUUGACCUGGUGGAACUCGAGUGUUGCCAGAUUAAAUUUCUUUUCUCCUUUUUUUUGAAAUGCUGCAAACAUGAAUGUCCAAUAAUGUCUAGGUGAUUCUUUUGCUUUCCCUAAAGUUUUGUAAAGGAAAAGGAGAACUACAAUAUUUGUUUGCUCUUUCCUAGAAGCAAACUUAGCUAAGUAAUUGUAAAGCUUGACAAGGAAUCAGAACUCUCAGAUGCCUACAAACAUUAUGCUCUAGCAGUAUCAUCAGAAACCAUCACAUUAUGAAAAAGAAAUGGAAAACAGAUUUGGAAUUUGCAGUUUGUUCAUCCAGUCUACUUAUGUUCUGAUGUUUGCUACUUUAUCUUCGUAAUUUCAUAACUAUUUAUUGCAGGACAGUAAGAAAUCCACAUUCAAUCGAUAGAUAUACCGGUGCUUCUUCAUCUGGUCCAGCUGCACUUGUCUCAUCAGGGUUAUGCUCAGCAGCGAUUGGAACAGACGCCGGAGGUUUGUACAUAUAGAGCUGUGACAUUCAUUGACACUACAUUCUUUUCAGUACUAGUCUCUUACUGGGACUUUUUCUUUCUUACAGGCUCAGUUCGAAUACCAUCCUCCCUAUGUGGCAUUGUUGGUUUGAAGACAACAUUCGGGCGCACAGAUAUGACUGGGUAACUAAGAGAAGUUCCUACUUGAUAUGUACUACUAGCACUUGCUUUGCCACUCUGAUACUAUGUUAAGCUUCAUGCACUAGGCAACACAAUCGAAAGUCCGAACUGAUGAAAAGGGCUAGACAAUCUACAUAUACACUUAACAGACCACCCAUGCUUGCAUAAAUUAUAUGUUACAGUACUGUGAAAAGUAUCCGUGAUGGAUAAAAUGAUAUUGUUUUAGUUUGAUCAAACCAGAUAUUUUUCAUAAAUUAAAGCCAAAUUUUAGAAAAUAUCUUGAGCUUGUUAACCCGGUCGCUAAGGCCUUAUACAAUGGGAGGUGCUUAGGAGAGGUGCUUAGAGAAAUAAACCAGGAUUUCCUUAAGCACCGGUGCUUAUUUGUACAGGGUAGACGCUUAACUAAGCGUCUCUCCUAUAGAAAUAGGCACCGGUGCUUCAGAAAAACCCGGUUUAUUUUUCUAAGCACCUCCCUAAGCAUCUCCAUUGUAUAAGGCCUAAAUAUUUCAAGUCAUCAGAUGUAAAUCAAAAUGCCAACUUGUUUUUUUUAACUUAAAAUGCCAACUUGUUUAAUUUCAUAUAAUGAACCCAAGUGCUAAUUUCUAUUUAAAUGUUAUUAUCAAAUAGUCAUUUAUUGACUCUAUGGGGUGUUUCACAAAAUCUAUUUUCCUUAUUUAUUAUUUUGAGUUUCAUAUAAAAAUACAUUGACUUUUUUAUUCGGUUGUUUCCUAUGUAUUAUUAAAUUUGUCGUUUUAGAUUUUGACAUGAUCUUCGAUGCAUACCUUUGGCAAUUACUUUUAAUAAAAAUGUGUUUUAAUAUAAAAUUAUAAAGUAUUAGUAUAGUUUGAAUAAAGUGAUAUUAUUUUUACAUGACCAAUGCAAAUAUUUUUUACAUAUACUACUAAGGGCCAAAGAUGUGUGUUGCCCUGCACAUUUGCGUGGCUAUUUUUUACAUGCGUGUUACAUGUUUUUUCAAAUUAGGAUAAUAUGAAUGGAAUACGUUUUGAUCACUGGAUUUAUUUGACUUGCUAUUAGGAUUAAUAAUAGAUAUUUGUGUUUUAUUUGAUCUUGUUACAGCCCAUGUAAAUUACAUGGCUUAGUCAUCUUUUAUAGGUUUAUUUUAGUUUAAUUUUUGCAAUGUCAUUUGCACUAUCCUCCCAUACACUCAAAUGCCCAGCAUGUUUAAUUUCUCAACCCAUAUGGUGUUGGACGUGCCCAUUAGGUAGCUCAAACCGUAUUGCUUGGGCCCAAACUGCGUUUGAGUGCCCAAAGCCAUACCAACGUCAUUUUUCUGUUUUUCUCUCCUCCUGCAUUUGAGUGCCCAAAGCCAGCCCAAACUGCUAGCUAUGAUUGGUUUGAGAGGCUCGUAUCGGAUACAAGUAUGCAUGUUUUUUCUGAUUGGUUUGUUGUGCUUGUAUCAAAUACUAAUACAUACAUGUUAUUUGUGGUUGCAUCUUGUACGUGUCGGGUGACAAAAUUCGUAUGUGAUGUUGUUCUCAGUAACUUUACACCUUUUAAUAUCAACCAUUAUAUAUUUUUAGCCUAUGUGGACGAAUGUGUUGGCAUUUGCCUUUUGUUUUAGUAUAUAAAUAAUAGAUAGAUUGUGAGUAUGCAUAAUUAUAUAUCUUAUUUGCAGGGUGCUUUGCGAUUGUGGGACUUCUGAAGUUGCUUCACCUCUUACAGCAUCGGUGGAGGAUUCUAUGCUAGUGUAAGUAGUUUGGCUUGCUAAAUGAGAUCGUGAGGUUGCAUAAACCUGUUUAGCCAUCUUGUUGGCAACGUCGAAGUUUGUCAACUCUCUUAUUUACGUUAAUGAUAUGAGAUAUAAAUUUAACUACCUCAUGGGUAGUGGGUACAACUGAAUACUUGUCAUUUAUGAAUACUCAACAGUGAACACUCUCUGCUUGUAAGUUAUGUGUUUACUACUUACAGUGUUACACCUAGUCGUAUGGCAUUUCAGGUAUUCUGCACUUGCUGGCUGUAGACCUAUGGAUAAGCUUACUCUGAGACCUGUAAGAUAUUUCCUGUUUUAACACUUCCCAUCUGUCAAGUACGAGAAACAUUGAAGUGCAUGUUGAACAAACUCUAAAAUGUCUUUCAUGUCACUUCUACGUCAUUGCACUAUACUAGUCGGUUUUUUUAAAAUGUGAAGCAGUACAAAUGUCAGCAUUAAUGAAUUGUGUGAAACAAGAAUGUGAUUAUUGUUUCUGAAAUGAAAAGUAAAAUUUGAAGCUCCACAGUACGGUAAUCAUAAUAUAGCAACAGUCAUAUGUUAACCUUCUCCAUUAUUACCCAGGAUGGAUCAUAACUUAUGAUCUAAAUCUAACCUUAUUGCAUCCUAUCAGGCUCACAACUUCUACAUCUCUUUCCCUUUUUUGCUGUACAGUUGCCGCUGUGUGUUCCUAACUUGGUGUCCUCUGAGAACAACGAUAUCCUGCAAUCAGUGAAAGUGGGAAAAUAUACAGAGGUACAAUUUUUAACAUGAAAUAUUAUCUUUGUACAUAUGUAAUUUUUCUUAUAUAAACUUGGCCUUUUCAGUGGUUUCAUGAUGUUUCUGAUAUUGAGAUCUCAAAUACAUGUGAGGAUGCACUUAGCCUCCUGCGCAACACCUUCGGAUGUCAGGUAGGGCCAUUUAUACCGCAGCACAUCUUUAUUAUUGUAUUAUUCUUAUGUUUAUUUAUAUCAACUGUUUAGGUGCUGUACCUUUGAAUGUACAAUCUCUUAUUUAGAUGAAGGCAUUUUCUCAUUAAUACGAUUUCCAUGUGUAAGGUGAAUGCUUCUGUGCUCACCAAAAACUACUACCAUAGUUCUGUUGAUGGUUGUGUCAAAACAAUUGUGAAGUGUUAAUUAGAAAAAUGUCCAUCUUACUAUUGUUAACAAUUCCUGUAAGUUUUAACUGAUCUGUAUCAUUUAGAGCUUUUAGACAUCCAACAAGCAGUAAUAGUUAAGCUUAAUUUCUCCCAGCUGCUAAAUGAUUAUGACGAGACGCCUUUUCUGAUGACGUGGGAUCUACUAUAUAUAUGCAUAUUUUGCUGUUUUUUGACAUCUCAACUGACUAGUAUUGUUUAACAUUUUUCAAGAUAGAAGAGAUAAUAUUACCAGAGCUUUUGGAGAUGCGUACUGCCCAUCUUGUCACUAUUGGCUCAGAAGGAUUCUGCCAGCUGAAUGCUCAUUACCAAGAAGGGUACCUAUCUAUAUCUAUCAACACAAAUAUCGGAUUCUCCAUACUGCUAUUAGCAUGAGUUAUCAAUUUUUUUUUCUUUCAAUAGGAGGCAGAACUUGAAAUUUUUGGUCCCUGAGAGACUGGAAAUAUUAUUUUUAUUUAGUCUUUACUAUUCCGUACUAUCAAUCUCACUAUACUAUCUUCCAGGAGGCGAACUGAAAUGACAUUAGAUACUCGAGGAAGUUUGGCACUUUUUGGGUCAUUCACUUCAGCAGAUUAUGUUGCUUCUCAACGCCUGAGGUGAAUAUGAGUAUAAAUGUAGCUGAUCCAUUUAUGAUUUCCAUUAGAGCACUCGUUCAUGAGUAUGAUGUAGUUUUUUUUCGUCAUGCAGUCUCAUUCAGAUCUUGGAAGUUCUUUUAGAACCAUGUUGACUGUUAUUGUAGAUAAGAAAGAUAAAAUAAAAUCUAUUUAGAUGGUAAGAAUUUUUCCAGGUAACACAGAGAGAUGACCAACCAAGCUAAUAAGAAACGAAUGUAUCUAAUGAUCCCACAGGUUUCCACAAGCCCUUAUCCAGUGCAUUUUUGUUGGAUUUAAUUUGACAAUAUCUGUUAUUUCUAGUAUAAUUAACCGUAGUUAUUGCUAAAUUACAAAUUAAAUUACAAUUCCAUCUAACUAAAUUAUUCUAAUAUGAUGUAUCCUAUAUAUGCCUUAUUUUAGUUAGUUCUUUCUUUAUCAUUUUAUUUUGAAAAUAAAUUGGAGAUUAUAGACAAGUACAAAAAGGACAUGCAUUACAGAGCAUACCUAACUGUGUGGACAUUUUUUUUACUAAGUAACAAUACAUCAGUAGCUGCUAGAAGUUGUGUAGCUUCAAUUUUAUCUUUAUCUGCUACCAGAAGGUGCUGCUAACUCAAAUUUCUUAUUCUUUUCUUUAAAAGCUACCAUGUCUUGACUAGACUCCAUAAAUGAUUUUUAGAGAAGUCCAUUUGGGCAUUGUAGUUUGUCACAUAUACUGAGUUACUAAAAUUUCCUAGAUCUGCUUGCUGUUGCACAAAUUGUGGGCAUUGAGGUGUUGUUAUAAAUCACAUGACACAUGGUUGUUGUAUGACAAAUGUAAUUAAGUCUGGAUAUGAACUGGCGACUAUCAAGUAUAUAUUUCUUUUCCCCACAGCAGACGUUCUGCCAGUUGUGUGCUUACCGUAUCCAUGGCUUAUAUAGGAGAAGGAUGAUGUACUAUCACACGGAAGCUUUCAGGAAGGUUGACGUCAUAGCAACCCCUACAACCGGGUAAAAGAUUUUAAAGUCUAUUACAAUCGGUUCAUAGACACUUUAUAUCAUCUUAGUCAGUUAUGCUAAUAGUGUAUAUGCAUGCUUCCUACUUGGUACUUGUGUUUGUCUAGUCAAAGAGGCUAGUGCAUGAGGAAAAUUCUGCCUUCUAGCUUCCAGUGGAUGGUUAGUGGUUCUACGUGACCUAGUUUUCUAAUUGUUGGGAUCGAGAGAGAGGCGCCUGGUCUUUGGUCUCUGGUGUCGGCACUUCUCCGCUUUUUUUUUUCAUUCUUUUUUGCAUUUUGGUUCUUCCUUUUUUACGUUUUCAUUUUUCUUUUGUUUAUUUUUUGGUUUUCUUUGUUAUUUCGGUUAUUAUUCUACAUUUUUAUAUAUGUCAACAAUAUUUUCUAAUACACGUCUAACAUUUUUUCAAUAAAAAUUAAAUAUUUUGGCAAUACAUGGUCAACAUUUUCUGCAUAGACGUUUUAAACAUUUUCAAAUGCUUAAAUAAAAUUUUUAAAUAAAAGAUUAACAUUUUGUAAUAAAUGGUCAAUAUUUUUUAGUUCAAUUUAUAUGUUUUUUAAGAGCUGAACUAAAAGUUCUGACAUAAAAAGAUUAACAUUCUCUUAUGACAUGAUCAACAUUUUUUCUAUAAACAUUUAACAUUUGCCAAACGCUUGAUUAACAUUUUUUGAAACAUUUGUUCAAUAUUUUUUAAAUGCUUGAUUGAUAUUUUUAUAUACAUGAUCAAAAAGUUUCAUCUUUUUUAAUACAUGGUCAACAUAUUUUCUAAUCACAUUUGACAUUUUCCAAAUGUUUCAUUAAUUUUUUUCAAAUACUUGUUCAACAUUUUUUCAAAUGCUUGAUUAACAUUUUUAUAUACAAUGUUUUUCAUCAUUUUUUUAAUACAUGGUCAAUUUUUUUAUACACAUUUAACAUUUCCCAAAUGCCUGAUUAACACUUUUCAAAUACUUGUUCAACAUUUUUUUUCAAAUGAUUGAUUAUUUUUUUUUAUGUACAUGAUAAAAAAAUUCAUCAUUUUUUAAUACAUGAACACUAUUUUUCCUAUAUACACUCCACAUUUUUUGAUUGCUUGUUCAACAUUUUUCAAAUAUUUAUUUAACCUUUUUCAAAUAUUGUUUGUGGAGUGUUUUUGUAACAUACAUAUUUAGAAUAUUUGAAAGUAUAAAACUUACAAAAAUAAAGCAAAAAAUAAAACAGAAAAUAUGAAAACAAAUAAAAAAUGAGGCUGUGGCCUGCCGCGCGUGGGCCGGUCCGUCUCGCUCGCCCCUUCAGCGAGUUGGAAGGUGGACUCGCUGGAGGCGAAAUAUAGGGGCGCCCCACCCCUUCCCCUUCUGUACUAUAUAAAUGGGCCAGCCCAACUAAGACGAGCGAGAAGGCCCCUCCGCUCCCGGUUUUUGUGAUGCUUCCCAGGCUAGUUUUGGGAAGCUUUGGAAGUUUCCAGCUAUUUUUUUUUUGUUUUCUAGACAGGUUUUUGUUGGUUUUAUCCGUUUUUCAUUGUUUUCAUAUGCGAGAACCUUUUCAAAUUCGCGAACUCUUCUCAAAAUGUUGUGAACUUUUUUCAAGUUUAAGAUUUUUUCGAAUUCGUGAACUCUUUUCCUUUUUGUGAAGAUUUUUCAAAUUAUGAACUUUUCCAAGCCAUGAAGUUUCCUCAAAUUCUAGAACUUUUUCCAAAUUUUGUCAGAAUUUUCAAAUUUACGAAAUUCUUUUAUUGUUUGUGAACUUUUAUGAAUACAUGAACUUUUUUGAAUUCGUGAAAUUUUUCCAAUUUUGGGAACAUUUCCAAAUUUCAUGAACUUUUUUAAGAUCAUGAACUUUUUUGAAAAUUGUGAACAGUUUUAAAAUUCAUGGACAUUUUUUAUUCAUGAUAUUUUUAAAAUUUGUGAACAUUUUUCAAAUUCAUGAACUUUUUCAAAUUUCUGAUUAAUUUUGAAAAUCGUGAACUCUUUCACAUUUUAUGAACUUUUUUAAAUUGUUCGAAAUUUGUAAACCCUUUUGGAUUUUAUUAUUCUUCCAGGUUGAUGAUUUUUUGGGAAACUCAACAGUUAACUACUAACUAGUCAUGGUCAACCAGGCCUACUGGUCAACUGUUGAACGAUCAACAUUUUAUUGAGCAUAUGUUGACCGAUGAACUGAUGGAACGAUCAAGCUGUUCAAAAAAAGAAAAAAACCGAGGAAACGAAAGGGACACUCGGUUUGUUGGUCUGGCCUAUGCGGGAGCCGGGAGAGGCGUGCGAGGGCCAAGUAGCUUAAUCAGCACUGAACAUGCCAAUUAGGAGGUCUCAGUGGUUUCUGAAUUAAAUGCGAGAUACUAUGUGUGAAUUACUGAAUUGACAAUACUAUUUCACAUUUGGGAUUACACGGAGCAACUGAUAUAAGUCUGUUUAUCUUUGCUCCCUAGAAUGCCGCAUACCUAAUUUUACCAGGUUGCACCAGUUAUAACAACUAAGGAGAUGUGUUGUUUUUCCCAGCAUUACUGCACCAAGAAUACCACCAAGUGCUCUGAAAGGAGAGUCUGAUUAUAUUGUAUCAGGUAGAUUCUUUCACUAUAUUAUGUUAUGCAUUUCAUUAGCCAUUCAACAUGUGGAUAUACAACUCAUCACAAACUCAGCUCUGAACCAUGCUAACAUCCUGCAUAAAAACUACUGAAAUCUUGAUUUGGACCAAUUGUUAUUUGACACAGCAACUGUUGUCUUUGUCUAGUAUUUUGAAAAAUGUUUGUAAUAAGAAAAAUAAAAUAACGACAGCUCUAUAUGUGAAAUUUGCAGGGGAGAUUGAGGUCAUAAACACAAUUUUCACACCUUAGCCGCGAAGAUCCUAAAAAGCUAAAGCUGAGCUAUCACUAGCUAUUUCCUUAUUUAGAUCACGGGUUUCAUGGUUUUGUGGUGGGACGGCACAAAGCUGUAACGGAAUAUCACAAGCUAUUUAGAACCUUGUUGGAGUCAUAUAUACAAGUGGCAUUUCUUCCUUUUGGAAUCUAAUACUAGUAUAAAGUAGCUAUGCAAUAUGUAUGUUCACGUGUUCACGAGUUCACGAAUCUAAUAGUUUGUAUGAGUUCAGCAGUUUGCAAAGCAAACUAUAUAUAUAUGCCUCUUUUGGUGCCAACUUGCCAAGUACAACUGUUGGUACUUCUACGGAGAUCAAAUACACCUUUUUCUGUUUCUUAUUCUAUCUCUCUAUUGCAGCUAAGUUGAUGCAAUUCAUUGUUGCGGGGAAUCUUCUUGGCUUUCCUGCCAUAACUGUUCCUGUAAGUGGUGUCACAACUCAUGGUGAAUAUUUAUUGUAUCUUCUAGUUAACGUUAUGAGAUUGUGUAUGGAAUAAUAACUUUACCAUUAUUGAUGUACAUUCAGAAACGAUGGUGUUAUUUCCAACAUAAUGAAAGGUUUACAGAUAAUUAUAGAAAAAUAUUCAGAAUUUUGGUAGUAUAAUAUAGCUUAAAAACAUGGAGGGAAUGUAUUAUUUUCUAAUAUGAGCUGCUACUCCUGUGCUGUACUCAGGUUGGUCAUGACAAGCAAGGCCUUCCUAUCGGCUUGCAACUGAUAGGCCGUCCAUGGGGUGAGGCUAGCUUACUGAGGGUGGCUUCGGCAGUAGAGGUACUGUUCACAUUCAUCAUAAAUGUUCUGUAUUUUUGAUUUGCCACCUGAGAAUGCACUCUUGUUCGAUAGGAGUCUAUGUGCCUUUUAAACCUGCAUGAACCCGAGCGAAUCUAUGAACAUUUGCCAGUUUUCUCAGGCGUUGGGAAAACUUUAUUUACUAAGAAAAAGGGUUUUCCUCCACUCUAUAUUACAAAGCAACCACCGAUACAUCCAACAAUAGGUGCUGGAGCCGCAGCACAAACAAGCCCAAAGAAAAACAAAGAAGAAAGAAAGAGAAAUAAUUGCCAACAACAGUAGAUCAAUGAAACGAAGAUGACUGGCGACCGCUGCACCCUCCGGAGAAGUACCACCACGAUCCCAGCACUCUGAAGCGCCGCCUACCAAGCAACACCUUCAAGAAGGAGGCGACGACGACACCGCUGUUGCCCGGACUAGUCCUAGGAUUUCCCCCGGCACGCGGGGGGCAGUGGGGGGAAGGGGUGUACCCGACGCCCUUCAGGAAGGUCCGGCGGCACCCACAGGUGUCGCCGCAUCGGGUCCGGACGAGCUGCCAGAGAUUUCUCCCAACUCAAACUCCCACCACCACCCCAGACGAAUCAUCGUGCACCGCCCAUCACGCCGCCCACCAACAUGUGCCACCACGGUCACCGAAUCAACUUCGCCGUCUCCCAAAGGUCACCGACACGAGACCUGGAGGGCGGGAGAAGAGAUAGUGGCCUCGGGGGCAUCUGCAACAUCGCCGACGUGAGGGGACAACCACCACCGCGGGGCCGGCCGGACGCACGGACAAGGGGCUUACCAGGCGCCGAGGCCCGGCCGGACCCAAAAGAGUCUGGACAGCCUCUGCCGUCACGCUGCAGCUCGCCGGCCGACGAAGCCGCCACCGCCCGCAGACCACUGCCUCUUCGCCACCAACCAGGGAGCAGCAUCGCCGCGCACCGAGUCAUCGGCCCGCCUUAGCCCAGAUGGAGUCCGAAAGGGCCCAGAUCUGGGCCGCGCGGGCGCCGCCAGCCACCAGCACCGCCACGCCGCCCCGCGGCCAACGGCCGCACCACCGCACCAAGGACCACGAGGCUCUCCGGACUCCCGCCGCCGAGCCACACCGCAGCCGGCCGAGAUGCACCGCCGCCAUUGGGAGGCCCCCCCCAUGAGCGAGCGGGGAAGGGACGGCCCACCGACACCGGCGCCGCGCGGGCAAGGCCCGGCAGACCCAGCCGGCGGCGGCGGGGAGGGAGAUGGACGGGGAGUGGGGGCCGGAGGGGAAGAGCCGCAGGAGCCCGCCCGUCGCCCGCGGGGUGGCGAGCAGGCGGACGGGGACGCGGGGGAGGAGGAGAGGGAGGCGGAGCGCGCAAGGCCGGCGGCGGCGGCGGGGGGCGGGGGCGGAACCCUAGUCGCGGGAGAUUUUUGGUAGCCGUCAAACUUUAUCUACACUACUAUGCUGUCUAGGGGCAUUUUUAAUGGGAAGAGACGCUAAUGCAGAUAAUUUCUGAAACAUGGUAAAUUUAGCAUGUCUACGGAAUCAGAAAAGCAGUAUUCAGUAGGAUCAUCAUUACGAGUGCGAACAUUAUUUUCAUCAAAUAUUUUGUACUGCCUUUGUCUGCUUCUGAACCCUCGUAAAUUGAGAACAUUACCCCUGCUUUCAGGAGCUCUGCCUGAAGAGAAGGAAUCGUCCGUCCACAUUCUUUGACAUCCUAAAGACCUGAAGCAUCAUCAGUAUGUAAUAUCAAUAGUAUGUAAGAGGUUUGUCAUUUGUCAUUUGUGAGGACUCAGGAUAGAGACGGCAAACCCUUGUCCAGGUUAUGUAAACUGAGAAAAUAAUUCUACCAGAGAUAUUGCAGCAACAAAUAAUUAAGCUAAUUAAGCGAGGUACUCCCUCCGUAAAGAAAUGUAAGAGCGUUGCGAUAUCGUUUGGAUGCUUGGGAUAUCUCUGCUGGUUUGCUUGUUCUUUCGGAUUGCGAUUCAUCUGCUUGUAAUGUUCUUGUUCUGGCUCGUCUCUGUCAGUCGAACAGAGGAAGAGAUGUAACUGGGAUAUCCAUUACUGACAAAUGAUAAUCUCUGGUCAAAGUGAG